UCUGACCCAAGGCUUAUGCAAAUGGAUUUGGAAAUUUUACAAAAAAGUAAUGUCUUGGAAAUUCCUUCCACUCACAUGUACCCAGCGAACAAAUGUUCUUGAAGUCUUUUAUUAAAUUGGAUGUUCAUCUACAAAGUUAAAUAGGAAACUGAGGUCAUUAUCUUUGAUCUGUUCACUUGAAGAAUGCAGAAAAUGGAAACGGAGAUAUGAGAAAAGGGGAGACUCCAUUUUCCAUCUUUCUAAGUUAGUAUACCUUUAAUCCAGAUGAGAAAAAGCCAUGAAACAUUGCCCACACCACAUCCCUGGGUUUUGAGCUAAUGGAUUAUUUUUUAAAACUUGGAGGAAAUCUUAAUUCAUAUCUUGGCCGAAGGCUUCAGAAGAAUCAUUUCUAGCUACAGAUACAGCACGGACGAUGCAGGAAAAAUCAGGUACUAGAGAACCAAGUCUCCUCGAUGGUGGUUAAGACCCUGGGUAUCUCGGGAACAGGUGAGAUGAAGUUCUCAUUUCUUACUUUCUUAGAGAACACAGCUAUGCUUUGACAUCCAUCAGAGGUAUAAUUGGGCAUCCCCCUUUCCUUCCUAACAUUACAGACCUGUAAACUUCUGAAUGAUGGUUGCUGAAUGAAAGGAAAAUUUCUGUGAGUACAGAGGCUGCCCAUCUGAAUGUAUGUGGAGGAAAGGAGUCAAGACUACCAGGAGCAAAGGAAGAGAAAGAGCUGGCAGGAAAAUGAGCAAGACAACCUUUUCUCGGAACAACACAAAGAUAAAGUACCUUUCCUGCUUACUCAUUUAAGAUGGCUCCCCUAACCCAGUCCUGUUUCUGCUUGCAUUUCCUGAAGAAGGGUCAACAGUGAGUGCUUGCCAACCCAGGGCAUUUUUAGACUCUCUACGGGUCAUUGGUGUUAUUCUUCUGGUCCCUUUAAGGGGCAAGCCACGCCCACUCCCUGCUACUUCUGACCUCUCCUCGCCAUCUUGAAACUCCCUUACUGUCCCCUCUGGUGUGUGCACACCUCUCUCUCUCUCUCUCUCUCUCUCUCUCUCUCUCUCUCUCUCUCUCUCUCUCUCUCUCUCUCUCCUUUAAUAAAUGUUUAGUUUUAUGCCUAUUUUAUGUGUCUAUGUGCCUUUUACCCGCCACCUGUUUACAUGCGCCCGCUUGCUGUUGGGAACCCGCUGCUGCUUGGGUGCCGGACUCCGGAGCCGCCCAGGGAUUUAGGAACAUUAAUUGGAACCCCAGGAUAAGACAUCUGAAGUGGGAAGGAACCUAAAUACCAUGCCAUUCACUGUGUGGUGGCAGGGCCAGCAGCCCUUGACUUUACACUGGAACAUUCUAGAGAUGCAGAAUUUAUGUCCCCACAGGAGACCCCCUAAGACAGAACCAGGGAGUCCAAACACUGGGUCAUUAAAACACGAGAAGAAAGCACGGACAAUGCCAUCUGCUGCCCCACGUGGGAGGGGAUUGGUGCAGCCUGAGAAGAUGAAACUAUCCAUGUGGUAGAUACAGGGAAAACAACCUCCGCAGUGCUGUGGGACUUGGAAGAGGUGGGAAGUGCCUUGUUUGUGGUGUUGAUGUAGUGACCUGGCGAUUUCAUGGCAGUAUAAGCCACCCAGAAAAAACCUGGUCCAUUUCACCAUUUCUAGAGCCAUCGGUGUUAAGGAAGAGCUAGUCUGUUUUUCAUCUAGUGCCUGGAGAAUCUCUUGAUUGCUGGUAAGCCCAGAACUUUGAUAUUUAAGUUUUUUGUUUGUUGUUACCAUUGUGGGUUGUUGUGUUCCGUUCAUUCUAUUUGUUUAUUUUGGUUCUUUUGGCAGGGGAAUGAAGCCAGGACCCUGCAGACUGGGCCCUCUCCACCACUAGCUGCAUCCUCAGCCUGUAGGUUUUGAUUUUAGCAGUGGGGCCAUGAUAUUAAGACUUCACAAAG